rnacentral:rRNA from 1 species
ACCUGACUGCUAUCGGAUUGGUACUAAGCCAUGCGAGUCAUUGUAGCAAUACAAGGCGGACGGCUCAGUAACACGUAGUCAACCUAACUCGUGGACGUGGAUAACCUCGGGAAACUGAGAAUAAACCACGAUAGAUCAUAGUGCCUGGAAUGGCUUAUGGUCCAAACAGUUUACUGCCAUGGGAUGGGACUGCGGCCUAUCAGCUUGUUGGUGAGGUAAUGGCCCACCAAGGCGAUUACAGGUACGGGCUCUGAGAGGAGAAGCCCGGAGAUGGGUACUGAGACACGGACCCAGGCCCUAUGGGGCGCAGCAGGCGAGAAACCUUAGCAAUGUGCGAAAGCACGACUGGGUCAGUCCGAGUGAUUCCUGAUAAAGGAGUCUUUUGCCUGUCCUAAAAGCACAGGUGAAUAAGGGGUGGGCAAGUCUGGUGUCAGCCGCCGCGGUAAUACCAGCACCUCGAGUGGUCAGGACGUUUAUUGGGCCUAAAGCAUCCGUAGCCGGCUCUGCAAGUCUUCGGUUAAAUCCACCUGCUCAACAGAUGGGCCGCUGGAGAUACUACAGAGCUAGGGAGUGGGAGAGGCAGACGGUAUUCAGUGGGUAGGGGUAAAAUCCUCUGAUCCAUUGAGGACCACCAGUGGCGAAGGCGGUCUGCCAGAACACGUUCGACGGUGAGGGAUGAAAGCUGGGGGAGCAAACCGGAUUAGAUACCCGGGUAGUCCCAGCUGUAAACGAUGCAGACUCGGUGAUGCAUUGGCUUAUGGCCAAUGCAGUGCCGCAGGAAGCCGUUAAGUUUGCCGCCUGGGAAGUACGGACGCAAGUCUGAA